UCCAAAUGAUACUUCUUCUAACAUUGCUGCACUGUUGGCAACAUUGCUGCACUGUUAGCAACAUUGCUGCAGUGCUGGGAACAGUGCAGCAAUGUUAGAAGAAGUAUCAUUUGGAA
rfam:Strigamia maritima strain Brora ctg7180001232510, whole genome shotgun sequence.